UACGUAGGGGGCAAGCGUUGUCCGGAAUCAUUGGGCGUAAAGCGCGUGUAGGCGGCUUCGUAAGUCCGUUGUGAAAGUCCAGGGCUCAACCCUGGAAUGCCGAUGGAUACUGCGGAGCUAGAGUCCGGAAGAGGCGAGUGGAAUUCCUGGUGUAGCGGUGAAAUGCGCAGAUAUCAGGAGGAACACCUAUUGCGAAGGCAGCUCGCUGGGACGUAACUGACGCUGAGACGCGAAAGCGUGGGGAGCAAACAGG
rnacentral:rRNA from 1 species